rnacentral:rRNA from 1 species
AAUGGCUCAUUAAAUCACACCUCAUGCCCUGGAUAGUGUCAGUUACUUGGAUAUCUGCGGUAAUUCUGGAGCUAAUACAUGCUGCGCAGCCCCGAACUUGUCGUGAGGGGCGCUUUUAUUAGAUCAAGACCAAACGACCUCGGUCGUCCCCCUGGUGACUCUGAAUAACUUUUCGCUGAUCGCACGGCUUCACGCCGGCGACGCGUCUUUCCAAGGUGUGCCCUAUCAACUGUCGACUGUGGCAUAGACGCCCACAGUGGUUUUGACGGGUAACGGGGAAUCAGGGUUCGAUUCCGGAGAGGGAGCCUGAGAGACGGCUACCACUUCUAAGGAAGGCAGCAGGCACGCAAAUUACCCACUGGUCGAAGACCGAGGUAGUGACGAAAAAUAACGAUACCGGACUCAUCCGAGGCCCGGUAAUCGGAAUGAGUACACUUUAAAUCCUUUAACGAGGAACAAUUGGAGGGCAAGUCUGGUGCCAGCAGCCGCGGUAAUUCCAGCUCCAAUAGCGUAUAUUAAAGUUGUUGCGGUUAAAAAGCUCGUAGUUGGAUCUCGGCGGGCAGGGGGCGGUUCGUU